rnacentral:rRNA from 1 species
ACGAACGCUGGCGGCGUGCUUCACACCUGCAAGUCGAACGGUGAACGAGGGAGCUUGCUCCCUCCGGAUCAGUGGCGAACGGGUGAGUAACACGUGAGCAAUCUGCCCCGAACUCUGGGAUAAGCGUUGGAAACGACGUCUAAUACCGGAUACGACGCGGGAGGGCAUCCUCUCCGCGUGGAAAGAACUUCGGUUCGGGAUGAGCUCGCGGCCUAUCAGCUUGUUGGUGAGGUAACGGCUCGCCAAGGCGACGACGGGUAGCCGGCCUGAGAGGGUGACCGGCCACACUGGGACUGAGACACGGCCCAGACUCCUACGGGAGGCAGCAGUGGGGAAUAUUGCACAAUGGGCGCAAGCCUGAUGCAGCGACGCCGCGUGAGGGACGACGGCCUUCGGGUUGUAAACCUCUUUUAGCAGGGAAGAAGCGAAAGUGACGGUACCUGCAGAAAAAGCACCGGCUAACUACGUG